GACGAACGCUGGCGGUGUGCUUAACACAUGCAAGUCGAACGGUAAGGCCCUUUCGGGGGUACACGAGUGGCGAACGGGUGGGUAACACGUGAGUAACCUGCCCUCAUCUCUGGGAUAACAGUCGUAAACGGUUGCUAAUACUGGAUAUGAGCUUGCAAGGCAUCUUGUGGGUUGGAAAGAUUUUUUUUGGUUGGGGAUGGACUCGCGGCCUAUCAGCUUGUUGGUGAGGUAGUGGCUCACCAAGGCUUCGACGGGUAGCCGGCCUGAGAGGGCGACCGGCCACAUUGGGGCUGAGAGACAGCCCAAACUCCUACGGGAGGCAGCAGUGGGGAAUAUUGCACAAUGGACGGAAGUCUGAGGCAGCAACGCCGCGUGCGGGAUGACGGCCUUCGGGUUGUAAACCGCUUUCAAUUGUGACGAAGCUUUUUUGUGACGGUAGCAGUAGAAGAAGCACCGGCUAACUACGUG
rnacentral:rRNA from 1 species